rnacentral:misc_RNA from 1 species
UUCAAGUGCUGAGGAGGUGAAAUGGACAACGUGAAACUAACGUUACUAGUUACGUGAAGUCGUUGCACGAUGGACGAAGGCACGAAACAUGUGAACACGAAUCCUCUCCAGAAAGCAAACUGGCUGUCCAAGUUGUUUUUCUGGUGGAUAAAUCCGCUCUUCAAAGUUGGCUACAAGCGCAACCUGGAGGUGGAGGAUAUGUACAAUGUUGUCCAUGAUGACUCGGCAGAUUAUCUGAGCAAUAGGUUACAGAAAGAAUGGGACAAAGAGCUGAAAAAAUUGAAUCCAGAAACAAAGGGCAACCCCAGUCUUCUCAGGGCAAUGGUCAGGGCGUUUGGGAAGCAAUACAUGUUGUUUGGACUGAUCACCUUUGUAGAGGAGGCUACCAAGGUGGUCCAGCCAGUGCUUUUGGGGGGUCUGAUACGUUACUUCUCACCUGGUUCGACUAUGGAACCCUGGGAAGCAUACAUGUAUGCUGCAGGGGUCAGUUUUUGUGCCAUGUUUUUAGCGAUCUUCCAUCAUCCUUAUUUCUUUGGCGUGCAACGAAUAGGAAUGUGGCUUAGGAUUGCUAGCUGCUCGCUGAUUUAUAAAAAGUCCCUUCGCCUCAGUCACAGCUCUCUAGGGAAGACCACCACGGGUCAGAUUGUCAACCUCAUGUCUAAUGAUGUCAAUAGGUUCGACCAGGCUGUGAUAUUCCUUCACUUCCUGUGGAUAGGUCCUUUAGAAGCCAUAGCCGCCCUAGUGAUACUGUGGUACAUGCUGGGUCCAGCAUGCCUCGCUGGCUACGCAGUGUUGGUGCUACUGAUCCCUGUACAAGGCUGGAUGGGGAAACUCUUUGCCAAACUCAGGAGAAAAACUGCUGUUCAAACAGAUGAACGAGUGCGUAUCAUGAGUGAAAUUAUAUCAGGGAUGCGAGUGAUUAAGAUGUAUUGCUGGGAAAAACCCUUUGGGGAACUAAUCAGAAGGGUUCGCAAAUCGUGACUGAGAACAGUGGAAGGUCUUUGCAAUUCGUGGUGCCCUAGACGCCAGCCCCCAUAAAAGGAAUGAUAACCUCCCAUUGGUAAACAGUGACAUCUGGUGUCCGUUUUCCAAAAAGAAAUACGCUGUAUCAAAGCUUCCAGCUAUGCGCGUGCUUUCAAUGCUGCACCUUACUUCUUUAGUCCUAAAU